rnacentral:lncRNA from 1 species
ACCAGGAACUCGCUCUUGAGCGCGCGGCGCGGCCCGCCGCCCUCCUCGGCGCCCGCCGCCAGCUGCUCGGGGCUGCUGGGACCCAGCUGCGCGUAGUGCUCGAUGAAGUCGCCCAGCGAGUCGCGGAACUCGGCGGCCACCGCCAUCGACAGCGUGAGGCGGCUCUUGGAGCCGCCCGCGCCCACCUCGGCGAUCUUGAGGAAGCGGCCCUUGGCGUUCUGCUUCACGUCCAGGAGGAGGGGUUCUUGCCUGUUUGUAUGUCAGUGCAUUGCAUGCCCACUGAGGGUGUGAUGGCUACAGAAACUCCAUUUUAUGUUGGGAGUUCAUCUUGGUACCAAAUAGCCAUUUGUCUCUGACUCAAGUUCCUGGAAGACAUUCAAGGACUGUUCUGAAGUCACCUUGACCAUCCAUCUAAUCCGGGUAGAGCAGAACAGCCCCUGUGGGUUUUACCUUUAAAUGUCCUUCCUGCUCCCUCAUCUGACUCUGAUUGAGUGCAGCCUUGCCAGAAGUUCUAAUAAAUUCUGCUAAUUAUAAUCAGAA